GUGAAAUUGUUGAAAGGGAAACGCUUGAAGUCAGUUGUCUCCUGUAGAAAUCAACUCAACCUCGGUUGAGUGCACUUUCUGCAGGAAGAGUCAGCAUCAAUUUUGAUCAUUGGAUAAAGGCUGUGGGAAGGUAGCAUCUUUGGAUGUGUUAUAGACCAUGGUUCAGAUGCAAUGGUUGAGAUUGUGGAACUCAGUGUGACAUUUUAUAUGUUUGGGGCUUCGGCUCACAUUCACACUUAGGAUGCUGGCAUAAUGGCUUUAAUCGACCCGUCUUGAAACACGGACCAAGGAGUCUAACAUGCAUGCGAGUGUUUGGGUGAAAAACCCAAGCGCGAAAUGAAAGUGAAAGUUGAGAACCCUGUCAUGGGGUGCAUCGACACCCGGACCUGACCUUUUGUGACGGAUCUGCGGCAGAGCAUGUAUGUUGGGACCCGAAAGAUGGUGAACUAUGCCUGAAUAGGGUGAAGCCAGAGGAAACUCUGGUGGAAGCUCGUAGCGAUUCUGACGUGCAAAUCGAUCGUUGAAUUUGGGUAUAGGGGCGAAAGACUAAUCGAACCAUCUAGUAGCUGGUUCCCGCCGAAGUUUCCCUCAGGAUAGCAGACACUCAUUGAAUCAGAUUUAUGUGGUAAAGCGAAUGAUUAGAGGCCUUGGGGUUGAAACAACCUUAACCUAUUCUCAAACUUUAAAUAUGUAAGAUGAAACUGUUUCUUGAUUGAACUGUUUCGCGAUUGAAGAGUGUCUAGUGGGCCAUUUUUGGUAAGCAGAACUGGCGAUACG
rnacentral:rRNA from 1 species